rnacentral:rRNA from 1 species
GACGAACGCUGGCGGCGUGCUUAACACAUGCAAGUCGAACGAUGAAGCUAGAGCUUGCUCUGGUGGAUUAGUGGCGAACGGGUGAGUAACACGUGAGUAACCUGCCCCGAACUCUGGGAUAACUGCUGGAAACGGUAGCUAAUACCGGAUAUGACCAAUGAAGGCAUCUUCUGUUGGUGGAAAGAAUUUCGGUUCGGGAUGGACUCGCGGCCUAUCAGCUUGUUGGUGAGGUAACGGCUCACCAAGGCGACGACGGGUAGCCGGCCGGAGAGGGUGAUCGGCCACACUGGGACUGAGACACGGCCCAGACUCCUACGGGAGGCGGCAGUGGGGAAUAUUGCACAAUGGGCGCAAGCCUGAUGCAGCAACGCCGCGUGAGGGACGACGGCCUUCGGGUUGUAAACCUCUUUUAGUAGGGAAGAAGCGAAAGUGACGGUACCUGCAGAAAAAGCACCGGCUAACUACGUGCCAGCAGCCGCGGUAA